GACGUAGGGCGCGAGCGUUGUCCGGAUUUAUUGGGCGUAAAGAGCUCGUAGGCGGCUUGUCGCGUCGACCGUGAAAACUUGGGGCUCAACCCCAAGCCUGCGGUCGAUACGGGCUGGCUCGAGUUCGGUAGGGGAGACUGGAAUUCCUGAUGUAGCGGUGAAAUGCGCAGAUAUCAGGAGGAACACCGAUGGCGAAGGCAGGUCUCUGGGCCGAUACUGACGCUGAGGAGCGAAAGCGUGGGGAGCGAACAGG
rnacentral:rRNA from 1 species